rnacentral:tRNA from 1 species
GCCUUCGUGGUGUAGUGGUCAGCACACUCGGCGCGUAUUCGAGAGGUCCAUGGUUCGAGUCCCGGCGAGGGUA